CCACCAUGUUACAAAGAUAUUCCAGCGGCCUUGUGGAGAGAUCCAUACAGGGAGGAAUUGAAGGCUCUUACCAACAGCCAAUAUGAACUGUGGAUGAGCCAUCUUGAACCUGAAUGCUCCAUUCCCAGUCCUGCUUUAGGAUAACUACAGUCCCAACUGACAUCUUGACUGUAACCUCUUGAGAGACUCGAAGGCACAUGUAUAUUCACCAACAUGGACUGUAUGCUGGGACACAAAAUGGAAGCCUAAGAAAAUGUAAAGUAUUAAAAUAAUACAAAGUAUAUUCUCUGAUCACAAUGGAAUUCAACUGGAAAUCAGUAACAAUAUGACCCAGUCAGACAUUUUUGCAAAUCUAUAUGAAAAAGAGAAAAAAUUUUAAACUAAAUAAUAAAACUGCCAGGAUAAGUGAGAGAACAGAAGCAGAAGGACUACUUCCUAACUCAUUCUAUGAGGCCAGCAUUGCUCUAAUACCAAAACCACGCAAAGACAGAAGAACAGCAAACUACAGAACAGUAUCUCUCAUUUUCACAGAUGCAAAAGCUCCCAACAAAACAUUUGCAAACUGAAUCCAAAAAUGCAUUAAAAAAUUAUACACCAAGACCAAGGAGAAUUUAUCCCAGCUAUACAUUUUAAGAUUGAGUGUGAUGGAGAUGUUGAAAUCUGAUUUUUGGCAAUGGGAUAUGAGGGAGAAGACAAUAUGAAGUUGGUUUCUGCAAGCCAGGGAGAAGGCUCUUACCAGGAAAUGAAUUAGCUGUCACCUUGAUCUUAGACUUCCCAGACUCCAAAAUUGUGAGAAAAUAAAUUUCUGCAGUUUAAGCCCUCCA